ensembl:lncRNA
AUCCAGCCAUGCCCUCGCUGCUUGCACAAGGGGUCAGUGGACAGAACCUCUUUGGGGGCCUCUUUGCUGCCCAUCUGCUCCUCUAUCCCCACAACUCCCAAGCCCCCGGUCCUUUCAGAACACCGCAAGCACCUUUUCCAGGAGGUGAACCCACAGCUGGUUUUGCACUGACCCGCGCAGGGCUCUGCAGGGGCUCCCAGCCAGAUCCUAAUGCUCCUGCCAGGACAGGCAGCGAUUCCCCUCCCCAGCACUGUCCCCAGCCUGGACCAGCACCGCUCUGGAGGGGUCUCUGUGCCAGAGCAGCAAUGGAGAGCGCGCAGGGCCCGAUUCCUGCGCGCUGGGGAUGUUGGUGGAGUGGCCUGUCCCAAGACAAGCCCUUCAGGCCCGUGGAUGACCCCAGAAGGACACGGGACACGGGACAGGGGUCCGCGGGCCUUGGCGGUGCCGCCCGCUCCCCCCACGCCCUCCUUUCAGCAGCAUUUCCGAGCGAGGCCAGAGCCGGAGCCGCCCUAAGAGGCUGUGAGAGUUUGGGAGCAGCUGUGGAGCAGCUGCCGGGGCCAGCGCGGGGGCUGGGGCCGUGGCAGGCGCCCCACAAGCGGCUCAGAUGGCUUUGGGGGUGGAUGUGGUGGGACCCUGCUCAGGGAUGCGGUGGGAGCUCAGAGCCUACCGCCGCCAGGCUUUGUUCUCGGAGCAGCGAGGCUGCAGCCCCUCCCCAGGCUCCACCUCCGCAGCCCACCCGAGACCCUCCUUCCGCUGCCUGUGCACAAGCUCCUCACAUGGUGCGCAGAGCUGGUGGGCAAGAGAUGCCCUUGGCAAGGCACAGAGGCACCUUGGGUGGUAGAGGCAUCAUCAGGAUGGCCCAGAGGCAACAGGGAACUAACCAGAGCCAAGCCCCCCAAGAGCAGAGACCUUGCAGCGGCACAAGGGGAUGCUCGGCUCUCCCCAGGGGAGACGCAGGUUGGCUGCAGCACCCUGGCCCUGCUGGGCACCUGGGGCUGAUCUGGCAGAACCUGUUCCCAUGCUACGGCAGCAGGCUCCGUCCCGCACCACUGCCUGCCCCUGCCCCUUCCCCACCCUCCACUCACGGGUUGCUGUCCA